CACAGGAGACCUUCAGAGCACCACCAUGUAGAAGUAUGUAGAUGUUGUAUGAUAUAUGAGCAUUUUUAGAAGGUUGGUGUUACAGAUGGAAUUUCUUAGAUCUGCAUUGGAACUGAGAGUCUGGGCAAAUGAACAUUGCUGACUCACUGAGAUGAAAAAGCUGCAGGAGAAGAAAAUAAAUAGGAGGAAGGAGGGGUUCGAGGCAAAGGGAGGCUGAAUUUGAAGUAGCACAUUCUGGCAACCAGCUCUGAAAUCCUGCAUGGAGAAACGCCUCAGACUGAAGAUAUAAUAACAAUUCCUCAGAUUAGUCCUCUCUGC